rnacentral:misc_RNA from 1 species
UUUCCGUAGGUGAACCUGCGGAAGGAUCAUUACUGAGUGAGGGUCUCUCGGGGUCUAACCAUCUACCCGUGUUUAACGAACUUUGUGGUUUUGGCUUGCCCGGCUUAAGGACGCCUGGGUGCAUAUGGCCCCGGGCCCGCCCUCGCCGUAAUCAUCCGGGAUCGCUCUCUGAAGUUUGCAUCCUGAGAAAAUUAUUAAAUUAUUUAAAACUUUCUACAAAGGAUCUUUUGGUUCCGGCAUCUUUGAAGAACGGAGCAGAUGGGUAGAGCAUCUGUGUGA